rnacentral:rRNA from 1 species
UACGUAGGGGGCAAGCGUUGUCCGGAAUUAUUGGGCGUAAAGCGCGCGCAGGCGGUUCUUUAAGUCUGAUGUGAAAGCCCACGGCUCAACCGUGGAGGGUCAUUGGAAACUGGAGAACUUGAGUGCAGAAGAGGAGAGUGGAAUUCCACGUGUAGCGGUGAAAUGCGUAGAUAUGUGGAGGAACACCAGUGGCGAAAGCGGCUCUCUGGUCUGUAACUGACGCUGAGGCGCGAAAGCGUGGGGAG